GCUUGGCCCUAAACCUCAGUAGUUAGAUAACAAAACUACUCGCCAGAAUACUACGAGCUACAGCUUAAAACUCAAAGGACUUGACGGUGUUUUACACCCCCUAGAGGAGCCUGUUCCGUAAUCGAUAAACCCCGAUCCACCCCACCCUCUCUUGCUCAGCCUAUAUACCGCCAUCUUCAGCAAACCCCAAUGAAGGUCACAAAGUGAGCGCAAACGCCACCACCGCGAAUACGUUAGGUCAAGGUGUAGCCUAUGAGAUGGUAAAAAAUGGGCUACAUUUUCUACCUCAGAAAAUUCCACGAAAGCCCUUAUGAAAUUUAAGGACCCAAGGAGGAUUUAGCAGUAAAUUAAGAAUAGAGUGCUUAAUUGAACUAGGCCAUAAAGCGCGC
rnacentral:rRNA from 1 species